rnacentral:tRNA from 1 species
ACGAGCGCUGGCGAUCGGCGCGGCCGCGAUGGCGCUCGGCGCGCCAGGCGUGGGGCGCGCGCAGACGGCCUGGCCGCUCGGCCGGCCCGGUCGCGCC